GCUGCCCAUCAAGCACGGCUUGUGUGUUGGGUCGUCGUCCCCCUCUCCGGGGGGGGACGGGCCCUAAAGGCAGCGGCGGCACCGCGUCCGAUCCUCGAGCGUAUGGGGCUUUGUCACCCGCUCUGUAGGCCCGGCCGGCGCUUGCCGAACGCAAAACAACCAUUCUUUCCAGG
rnacentral:misc_RNA from 1 species